rnacentral:rRNA from 1 species
GACGUAGGGCGCGAGCGUUGUCCGGAUUUAUUGGGCGUAAAGAGCUCGUAGGCGGCUUGUCGCGUCGGUCGUGAAAACCUGCAGCUCAACUGCAGGCUUGCGGUCGAUACGGGCAGGCUAGAGUUCGGUAGGGGAGACUGGAAUUCCUGGUGUAGCGGUGAAAUGCGCAGAUAUCAGGAGGAACACCGGUGGAGAAGGCGGGUAACUGGGCCGAUACUGACGCUGAGGAGCGAAAGCGUGGGGAGCGAACAGG